AUUGAACGCUGGCGGCAGGCCUAACACAUGCAAGUCGAGCGGAGCGGCGGACGGGUGAGUAAUGCCUUGGAAUCUGCCUGGUGGUGGGGGAUAACGUCCGGAAACGAGCGCUAAUACCGCAUACUCUCAGAUGAGCCUAGGUCGGAUUAGCUAGUUGGUGGGGUAAAGGCCUACAAAGGUGCCGAUCCGUAACUGGUCUGAGAGGAUGAUCAGUCACACGGGAACGUAGACACGGUCCAGACUCCUACGGGAGGCAGCAGUGGGGAAUAUUGGACAAUGGGCGAAAGCCUGAUCCAGCCAUGCCGCGUGUGUGAAGAAGGUCUUCGGAUUGUAAAGCACUUUAAGUUGGGAGGCGUUACCAACAGAAUAAGCACCGGCUAACUCCGUGCCAGCCGCCGCGGUAAUUC
rnacentral:rRNA from 1 species